GCUCGGGCCGCUGCUGUUCUUCUCCUUCGCCUUGCUGGGUGACGGGCUCUCCUUGUCGCUGUCGUUGCACGCCAUGGGGCUGGAGGAGUCCGGCGAGGCGCACGGAGCUUUCUCCGGCUGAGGCGGAGUUUUCUUCAGGUGUGCCCGCGGUCCGCUUGGAUGAAUGGCGGUUGGUCCCGAGCGCGCAGAGCUCUGCCCUCCGACACGCGCCGGCCGAGCCCGACAACACCCGAGCGCCUCCGAGUGGAGCCGAAGCUGCUGUGGCGCUCAGAGGGGGAAUAAAGUCACUGGAAUGGUCCUUUAAUAUUCCCUCAAGGGCUUGUUAUGGCAUUUUUUAAAACAUUUUUUUCCUUUAUAUUAUUUAUAAAGAAAAUUAUUUUUAUAUUAUUACUUUUUUUUUUAACUCCAUUACAUUUAUCUGAUAACUUUGAAUAUCAGUGUUUUACAUCCAACAUAUAUGCUCAAUGUUUUGUACUUUUACUUGCAGUUAAUUCAUUAAAAAAACAGGUCUUAAACUAUAUUAUGACACUAUAAAUGAUAAGAAUAUAUGAAUACUGUCCCUCCCUAAAGUACUAGAAUAUUAUAAUCACAGUGAUAAGAUGAACUGUAAUCAGUUUUGUCACUAUAAAGCCACAAAAUCACUCCUUUAUAAGAUCAAAAAACUAUAGUCUAAAGUCAGACUAAAACUGUAACUAACUCUAAUACUCUAAUAAUAACUACAGGAGUAUUCAGAGUUGGAAAGUAACAAGUUGACUUCACUAUAAUUUGGGUUACUUUUACUUUGUUUUAUUUUCAUUUUAUGUUACUUUUAUGAUAUAUUUCUAAAGUUCAUUAUGUUUUUAGAGACACAGUUUGUACUUUUUCCCACCACUACAUUUAUCUGAUAACUUUAGUUACUAUUACUUUGAAUAUAAAAUUUUUACAUACAAAAUAAAAUACAUUUUAUGACUAUAAAUCUCAUAUUUAGGGAUAUAUAAUAUAUAUGAUCUAUAUAUGAAUAUUAACUGUGUUUUAUCAUUGUGCGUCCAUUAAAAAAGCUCAUUAUUGUAUUAUUUUUGAGUGUCAGGCAAUGCUAUGUGUCAGGACUUGAAAAACAGGGAUGGACUGACAACAUUUUGAUUUAUUUUACAUCAUUACAAAGACUUUUGUUCAACUUGUUAUAUAUUCAUUUGUUGUUUUCAGUAAGGCACUCUGUGCAGUUUUGUAAAAGUGCACAUAUAAAUAAGUUGUAUUAACACGUGUGUUAUGGUCCCUGAAAA